AUUGAACGCUGGCGGCAUGCCUUACACAUGCAAGUCGAACGGCAGCACGGGUGCUUGCACCUGGUGGCGAGUGGCGAACGGGUGAGUAAUAUAUCGGAACGUACCUUAUUGUGGGGGAUAACGCAGCGAAAGCUGUGCUAAUACCGCAUAAUCCCUAAGGGGGAAAGCGGGGGACCGUAAGGCCCCGCGCAAUUAAAUCGGCCGAUACCUGAUUAGCUAGUUGGUGAGGUAAAGGCUCACCAAGGCAACGAUCAGUAGCUGGUCUGAGAGGACGAUCAGCCACACUGGGACUGAGACACGGCCCAGACUCCUACGGGAGGCAGCAGUGGGGAAUUUUGGACAAUGGGGGCAACCCUGAUCCAGCAAUGCCGCGUGAGUGAAGAAGGCCUUCGGGUUGUAAAGCUCUUUUGUCAGGGAAGAAACAGCAGCUCUAACACAGUUUGCGAAUGACGGUACCUGAAGAAUAAGCACCGGCUAACUACGUGCCAGCAGCCGCCGUAA
rnacentral:rRNA from 1 species